AUAAAUGUAAUUAAUUUAUUAAAUUAUUAUAAGCUAUGAUCUUUAAAUUUAAAAAAUUUGGCGGUAUUUUAGUCUUUUUAGAGGAACCUGUUUUAUAAAUGAUAAUCCACGAUUUUAUAAACUUUUAUUAUUAGCUUGUAUAUCUUCGUUAUAAAAUAUUUUUUUAGAAUAAUAAUAUUUAAAAUAUUUUUAAAAUAAUUAAUCAGAUCAAGGUGCAGUUUAUAUAAAAGGAAAAAUGGGUUACAAAAAAUUUAUUUUUGGAUUUUUAAUUUUAUAUUAAAAUGAAAGUGGAUUUAAAUGUAAUAAUAAUUUAUUAAUUAAUAUGAUUUUAGCUCUAAGAUAUGU
rnacentral:rRNA from 1 species